rnacentral:rRNA from 1 species
UACGUAGGGUGCGAGCGUUAAUCGGAAUUACUGGGCGUAAAGAGCGCGCAGGCGGUCGUUCAAGUCGCGUGUGAAAGCCCCCGGCUCAACUGGGGAGGGUCACGCGAUACUGAUCGACUCGAAGGCAGGAGAGGGUAGUGGAAUUCCCGGUGUAGUGGUGAAAUGCGUAGAUAUGUGGAGGAACACCAAUGGCGAAGGCAGCCCCCUGGGUCAACACUGACGCUCAUGCACGAAAGCGUGGGGAGCAAACAGG